rnacentral:misc_RNA from 1 species
CCAAUUGCAAGCAUUGCUUCCUCAUGCACAGUGGAGCUUCGGCAAGCCAACACACGGAGGAACAGAAUCAUAAUUGGAUCUGCAGCCUGCAGUAUAAUGGGCUUGGUCUCAUCAGUACUGCCAAGUUUCUGGAUGAUGACUUGUAGAACACCACAAAGGGAAGCCUGUAAAUCUCCUUGCUUCUCUCUGUCAUCUGAAGAUAAAAUCUGAAGAUCUAGAGUCUGCCCUAACUUGUUCAUGAUGACUGGGAGCAGCUCAGAAAUAAUAUGAGAAGUUUCCACAAUACUGGAAGACCUGAUAACCUCAUUCAAGGUUUCAUAUGCAGAAG